AUAUUUGAAAGUGGUUUAUCGUUUGAAUUGAGAUGUAGAAGAAUGGGUGUUGAAUAUGAGAUAUUGUGAAUUAGAAAGAGAGUUUUGUAGAUAGAUGUGAUGUGAAUGAUAGAGAGUAUGUGGAAUUGAGUCUAGUUAUCAGAAGUAAUAUUGUGAGUGAGAUAGAACGUUAGUCUUAACGACGACGCUUCAAGCUAACCGGGAUUUCUUCUGAUAUCAAGAUGAGCCAACUUCAUUGCGAACGAUAAUGUCUACAAGGGAUCUUACGAAGCUAUCACGAGCGAGAACGUCGAGAAGAG
rnacentral:lncRNA from 1 species